CUAAUGAUGUAUGAUGUAGUCCAUGUUUAAACGUUGUUCUCAUUGCCUUGUCUCUGUUUCUCAUAGAUCAAAAGCAGGAUACGUCUAUUGACUGAGACACAGCUAAACGUGAAACUCGCCCAGCUAUCGAAAAASAAAUGUGACAUAAUGAUUCAAUUGUCUGAAAUGGAGAUACUGGACUAUGACGCRCCAGUGAAAAGGUUGCGGGCAUGCCUGCAGUCCUCUCAAGAGGAUAGUCAGGAGCUGGAGGAUAUGAAGAAACAAUGGGACAUCAGAGCUGGAGAAAUGGAGGCAUUUCAUCUCCAGCUCCAGGAGCGUGUUGAACGCAUACAGAAACUGAAAGCUGUUGUAAGUCCAUUACUGCUCAAUCAAACUCACUGGUUUGGUAUGAUGAUAAAGAGCUAUCUUAAUGGGGUUUAUGUUAUGGCUCCCAACAGUGGGGACCGAUGGAACCACUUAAAGAGCAUCACGGUGGGGAUGCCAGGAUCCCUAGUGCCACCAACACCCAAUCUACCGAUCAACACCACAGUGGAGGAGGUGAACAGGGGUCUUCAGGACAAAAAUUGUCAGCUUGAAGAGAAGAAUGCCGCUCUACAUCAAAAACUCCACAGCACUGAGAAGAUGUAUAGACAGACUCUAAACRAG
rnacentral:lncRNA from 1 species